UACGUAGGGGGCAAGCGUUGUCCGGAUUCAUUGGGCGUAAAGGGUGCGUAGGCGGCGCGGUAAGUCGGGUGUGAAAUCUCGGAGCUUAACUCCGAAACUGCAUUCGAUACUGCCGUGCUUGAGGACUGGAGAGGAGACUGGAAUUUACGGUGUAAGCGGUGAAAUGCGUAGAUAUCGUAAGGAAGACCAGUGGCGAAGGCGGGUCUCUGGACAGUUCCUGACGCUGAGGCACGAAGGUCAGGGGAGCAAACGGG
rnacentral:rRNA from 1 species